GUGGCGAACGGGUGAGUAAUACAUCGGAACGUGCCCUGUAGUGGGGGAUAACUAGUCGAAAGAUUAGCUAAUACCGCAUACGACCUGAGGGUGAAAGUGGGGGACCGCAAGGCCUCAUGCUAUAGGAGCGGCCGAUGUCUGAUUAGCUAGUUGGUGGGGUAAAGGCCCACCAAGGCGACGAUCAGUAGCUGGUCUGAGAGGACGAUCAGCCACACUGGGACUGAGACACGGCCCAGACUCCUACGGGAGGCAGCAGUGGGGAAUUUUGGACAAUGGGCGAAAGCCUGAUCCAGCAAUGCCGCGUGUGUGAAGAAGGCCUUCGGGUUGUAAAGCACUUUUGUCCGGAAAGAAAUGGCUCUGGUUAAUACCUGGGGUCGAUGACGGUACCGGAAGAAUAAGGACCGGCUAACUACGUGCCAGCAGCCGCGGUAAUACGUAGGGUCCAAGCGUUAAUCGGAAUUACUGGGCGUAAAGCGUGCGCAGGCGGUUGUGCAAGACCGAUGUGAAAUCCCCGAGCUUAACUUGGGAAUUGCAUUGGUGACUGCACGGCUAGAGUGUGUCAGAGGGGGGUAGAAUUCCACGUGUA
rnacentral:rRNA from 1 species